ACUAUCAUAUUUGAAUUGUCUACUUAAAUUUACGGAAAGAACAUCUCAAACGUUAUCUUAUACAUGGACGGUGUUCUCCUCUCCUUUGACAUCGCUGGGGUGGAUGCCACUGGUGGUGUGGGAGCCCAGGGCCUUGACCUCAGUGACACAGUUCGAAGAAUGGAAGAAUAUAUUCCUCAAGUUAUUGUUGAGGCAGCUGUAGAGAGGUGCUUCAAGUUUGGAUCAGAACCAGUUCCAU
rnacentral:lncRNA from 1 species